UACGUAGGGUGCAAGCGUUGUCCGGAAUUAUUGGGCGUAAAGAGCUCGUAGGCGGCUCAGUAAGUCGGGUGUGAAAACUCCAGGCUCAACCUGGAGACGCCACCUGAUACUGCUGUGGCUAGAGUCCGGUAGGGGAGCAUGGAAUUCCUGGUGUAGCGGUGAAAUGCGUAGAUAUCGUAAGGAAGACCAGUGGCGAAGGCGGGUCUCUGGACAGUUCCUGACGCUGAGGCACGAAGGUCAGGGGAGCAAACGGG
rnacentral:rRNA from 1 species